GUUAUAACUUAUAUUAUACAAUUUUGUUUUUAUUUACUAAGUUUAUCAUUAUUUUUUUUAUGAAAAAUUAUAUUUGUUUAAAAGAAAUUUUUUAAACCAAUAAAAUGUUAACCUGUGAAGCACAUGGUUGUCUUUCAAAUGAAAAUACAAAAAUUGAAGGGAAAGAUAUUUUAUUGUUCCGUUUUCCCGAAGAAAUAGAUCAAAGAAAUGAAUGGUUAAAGAAUUGUCAAUUGAUCGAAAAUACUGAAAGUAAUAAAGUAAUUUAUCUCUGUGAAUUGCAUUUUGACAAAACGAGUUUUAAUGAUUUAAAAGAACUGGUUUCUAAUGCUGUUCCAACUAUUUUUAAUAAAAUAGAUGAUGACCAAAAAAAACGUAAAAUUGAAAAUGGAUCUGAAACUGAAUCACCUAAAACUCCACCGUUAAAGCAAAAAAAAUUAGAUAAUGAUUCGCAAAGUUUAGUAACUCCACCACUAAGCCCUUGUAUUCAAUUAGUAGAAAAUGCUGAUAAAAUAAAUGGGCAAGAUAAAAUAGAUACAUCUUCUGAUAAUAAAAUAUCAUUAAAUGGAUCUGCUCAUAUAAAAUCUGAAUUGUAUCCAAAAGCAAAAAUAGGAAAAAAAUCAUAUUGUUUAACAAUACAAAUAGAUAAAAUAUAUGGGAAACCAUGUCCAAGAUCAAAAAAACUUAAAAUGUUGGCACAACUAAUAAAAGGAAGUCAACAGUUUUCAGAAAAUAAUAUGAGUCAAAGAGAUCAAUCUCUAAACAAAUUUAAUAGAAAAGCAAUUUGUGCAAAGGGUGGAUGUAAAUUAAAAAAAUCUAUUUAUGAUUCAAAACCAGCAUUUCAAUGUGAACACUGUGAUAAAUAUUAUAUAAUGAAAAAAAAUGAUAAUCAAGAAGAGAAAAAUAUUUGUACUAUGUGUCAUAAAACUUUUUCAUCUUCACAAUCUUUAUAUCUUCAUACUAAGACUCAUUUUAUAUGUGAUAUGUGCCAAACUGAAUGUAGUUCACAAGUAACUUAUGAUAAGCAUAUAAGAUUACAUGUUAGCACAGAUCCAUUGUAUCCUUAUAAGUGUCAUACGUGUACAGAAACAUUUGAACUCAAGGAAGAUGUUAGACAGCAUUAUUUAAUUGUUCAUCCUACAAUAAAAUUACAGAACACAAUCUUACAAGUAACUGCUCCAUCUUUAACACAACAAAUGCAGCAAGAUUAUCGUUGUGUCAGUUGUAACAUUACUUUUAGAAAUGAACAAGCCUACAGGAAUCAUAUAAAUUCCCAUAAAAAGAAAGAAGGAUUAAGAUGUAGUAUUGGUGAUAGUACUAAUAAUAUAUUUCCAGUACCUAAUCCAUUAACUGGUAGUCAAAUAGGUAUUCUUCGAGCUGUAAAGUUCAGUUGUAGAGUAUGUUCUAUGGAAUUUGAUAAUGUUGGUGAAGUAGAUAAACAUACUAGAACUCAUUUGGAAGAAGAUAGUGAGGAGGAACAUAAAUGCAAUAUUUGUAAAAAAUUAUUUAAAACAAGCAUACAACUCAAUGAACAUUUAAAAUAUCACUUAUCCCGUGCACACUCUUGUCCCGUAUGUUCUAAAGCUUUUAUUAAUAGAACUACUUUAAAAAUACAUUUAAAAACACACGGUGAAUCGUAGAUUAUAAUUAAUUUAGUAAAAUAAUGUUUAUACAAAUAUAAUUCAAUUCUUUGAUUCCCGGCUGUGUCAAAUUGAAUAUUGUAAUAUUUACGCUUAGAGCGACAUUAUUUAAUCGGUAAGGUUCCUAUACGCGGAAACCAUUGUAUAACGUGUACAAAUUUGUUUAAUUUUAUUGGCAUUUGUAGCCAAUGACGAGGCAGAGAAAGAUUAUUGACUGUAAUAGUUGUAAGACGAUGAGCAUUUUUUUUUACAAAUAAAUGUACAACAUUUGAAGAAUUUGAAAGGAAGAGUGGAUUUGAUUGUUGAGAUAUU
rnacentral:misc_RNA from 1 species